CUCUCUUUUAUUCAUAUUUGGAUAUGGAUGUCUCUUCUUCUCUUUGUCUAAAAGUUAGAUAAAAUUUCUACAUCUCUAUUGUAGAGAUUUGGUGUAUGAAUUUUAGGAAGAAAAUAGAAGAAAGGAUUCUUCUCAUGAUCUCUAGUGUAGGGAUCAAGAUCCUUCUAUGUUCUUCUUCUUCUCUAAGAGUGUUUUAGAAGAAAAAAAAUUUUUAACCAUCAAGAUGCGAUCUCUAUAAGGGAGCUAGCAUCCUGAUGAAAUCAAAAGGCUUCUAAUCAAAUCAGAAUCUCGUGUGGAUAUCCGUAAAUGCCGGAUGCUUGUGUAGCUAAA
rnacentral:lncRNA from 1 species